UGGGGAAUAUUGCGCAAUGGGCGAAAGCCUGACGCAGCGACGCCGCGUGAGGGACGAAGGUCUUCGGAUUGUAAACCUCUUUCAGCAGGGACGAAGCGAAAGUGACUGUACCUGCAAAAGAAGCACCGGCUAACUACGUGCCAGCAGCCGCGGUAAUACGUAGGGUGCAAGCGUUGUCCGGAUUUAUUGGGCGUAAAGAGCUCGUAGGCGGUUUGUCGCGUCGGAUGUGAAAACCCAAUGGCUUAACCUUGGGCCUGCAUUCGAUACGGGCAAACUAGAGUGUGGUAGGGGAAACUGGAACUCCUGGUGUAGCGGUGGAAUGCGCAGAUAUCAGGAAGAACACCGAUGGCGAAGGCAGGUUUCUGGGCCAUAACUGACGCUGAGGAGCGAAAGCGUGGGGAGCAAACAGG
rnacentral:rRNA from 1 species